UUGCCAUAAAAAAAAAAAAGAAUGUGUUCAUGUAGAACUCAAUGGUUACCUUUCGUGAGGAGAAUGCAAAUCAAGGCAAAAGAAGAUUAAAGAGCUGUAAUAUUUCACAUGAAGCCCAUCUUGCACUAUAGAAAAUGUACUUAUCAGGAUGAAAUCCCAUUAAAAUGGCUGUCAAAAAUGAAAUCUGUUUAACUCCAAACUAAGAUACAAUUUUACACCCUAAAAUAAAGUACAUAGGCCACCCUAGUAGAAGAGGUGAUCUUUCUUAGAGAAAUGCAUUUGUUUUUUCCUAUCUUAUUUCCAACUAUCUCGUUAUAAAGGUCUUUUAGACAUACCCAGUAGUUCUACAAUCUGGCUUCACAUUAGCGUUACCUUGGGACCUUUAAAAAAUGUUUGUGUUGGGCUGAGUGCAGUGGCUCAUGCCUGUAAUCCUAGCACCUUGGGAGUUUGAGGCGCGUGGAUUACUUGAGGCCAGGAGUUCAAGACCAGCCUGGUCAACAUGGUGAAACCCUGUCUCUACUAAAAAAAAUAGAAAAAUUAACUGGGCAUGGUGGUGUGCCCCUGUAAUCCCACCUACUCAGGAGGCUGAGGCACAAGAAUCGCCUGAACCUGGGAGGCAGAGGCUGCAGUGAGCCGAGAUUGUGCCAUGGCACUCCAGCCUGGGCAACAGAGUAAGACUGUCUCAAAAAAAAAAAAAAAAAAAAGUUCACCUUCAUGUUGGGUUCAUGACAAAUAUCCUGAUUUAAUGUCUUAUAAACUUCCCAGAAGAUUCCACUAGGUAGUUGAAAGUAGAACUGUUGUAUUAGCAUUUUCUAUCUAGGCUAUUUCCAUGUUUACCAAUAAAUGACAUGAUAAAUUCUUCCAGUUUUCUUAGGACCUCUAAAACAACAGUGCCUUCAUUCAAAUGCUAAGAUUGGAUUUCUAGUCCAUUUUCCUCGUUUAUUUGAAAACACAGCAUGAGGUCAAAACAAGAAUGAAUCAAAGGUAGUUUCUGAUUGUUGGUUUUAUUUGAUGGCUCAUUAUUUCAAGACCUCUUGGAACAACAAUCCUUGUCCGUCUUAAUCUUUUAUUAAUCUUACAAUUAUAGUAACUAAUGCCAUUUCAACGUGAUUUCAACUUGUGACUUUUGCAACAUUAUAAACUGGUAAAUUAUGAAUUAAACACGUUUAAUGCACCCCAAAGUCAAAAACCUUAGGUGGUUAAGUGUUUUAAGAGCUUAUACAUGUGUUAAGAUAUAUAAAGGUACUGCUUCAUGAAGAAUGUGAUUUUAAUAUGUACACACAUGGGCAUGAGUGUGUAUGGGGGGGUAAAACAGACAGUGCAAGCAAUAAUAUUUAGUAAGUAGAUAAGACCAGCAAGUCUUGAGAAAUAUAUUGCUUUUUAGUCAAAUGGGGCACUUGUAAAUGAAUAGCUAGACUAUAGGUGAAUUCACUCGAAGAUUUCCUUUUCCUUUUGGAAAUUUGCUACUUGAGUUUUGAACUUGAUUAUUCUUUAAGGUAUUUCAGCACUGAAAGCUAGUCAGUCUCUCCUUGAUCAUGUCUCCUUGCCAUUGGGAAAUAUUGCAUGCAAGUGGAAAAAAGGUCUAUGAAUCUUCUAUUUUUCCCUUUUUAAUUUGUUUAAAAAAUUUUUUAAUUUAUUUAUUUUUAUUUAUCAGCCAUAAAAAAGAAUAAGAUCCAGUCAUUUGCAACAACAUGAAUGGAACUGGAGAUCAUUCUGUCAAGUGCAAUAAGCCAGGCACAGAAAAACAAACAUCACAUGUUCUCACUUGUGGGAUCUAAAAACCAAAACAAUUGAACUCAUGAAGACAGAAAGUAGAAGGAUGGUUACCAGAGGCUGGGAAGGGUAGUGGGGGCCUGGGAGGGGAGGUGGGGAUGGUUAAUGGGUACAAAAAAAUAGAAUAAAUAAG
rnacentral:lncRNA from 1 species